rnacentral:rRNA from 1 species
AACGUAGGAGACAAACGUUAUCCGGAGUUACUGGGCGUAAAGGGCGUGCAGGUGGUCUGUUAAGUCUGGCGUGAAAGCUCUCGGCUAAACCGGGAGAGGUCGUUGGAUACUGGCGGACUAGAGGACGGUAGAGGUGUGUGGAAUUCCGGGUGUAGUGGUGAAAUGCGUAGAGAUCCGGAGGAACACCAGUGGCGAAGGCGGCAUCCUGGACUGGUCCUGACACUCAUGAGCGAAAGCGUGGGGAGCGAUCCGG